UUCCGGCUACAGCCGUUAAAUUAGAACUGAACGGUUCGAUAUCACAGAGGCUAGCGUUAUAGGUGUACAGAGGCUAGUUAUUAGCUACUAGUAAUAGAUAUCACAGAGGCUAGUAAUUAGAUCUACAGCUACCCUUGUUGUUUUUCCUCUUCGUUCUUCGUCCUCCUUUCAGAUUAAUUGUAUCAGAUUGUGUGUAUUUUCGAGAUUCAUUUUUGGAAGUAUUAAUUUCAUUGUGUAGUCCAAGUUUAUGUGUUUAUUCUUUCAUUAUGUAGUCGAAGUUUUGGGUUCGUUCUUCUUUCGCUCCAUUCUACGCAGUGCUUUUCUUUCUUCGUUGUGCUUUCAGGUGCUUUUCAAUUUUCGUUCUUCGUCCUGCUUUGCUUGUGUUACGUUUAAUAUAAUGGUUGCUAGUCAUUUUCCACAGAUUUAUCAGUCAGUUCAAUUUUCAGUUUUCUUCUUUAGGGUUCAUUUUUCGUCGUGCUUGAUUUGGGUAGUUAUUUAGGGUUUAUUUUUCACAGAUUUUUCGAAACGCCCUAAUCCACAGAUUUUUCAAUUUUCGGUCGUCAUCUGCAGGGUUCAUUUUCAGUACUUUUUUCCGGGUUCAUUCAUCGUCUUGCUUCUUUCUUGUGAUUUUUGUGUUCAUUUUCAGAUUGGCCUGACUGGUUGCUAGUCAUUUUCCACAGAUUUAUCAGUCAGUUCAAUUUUCAGUUUUCUUUUUUAGGGUUCAUUUUUCGUCGUGCUUGAUUUGGGUAGUUAUUUAGGGUUUAUUUUUCACAGAUUUUUCGAAACGCCCUAAUCCACAGAUUUUUCAAUUUUCGGUCGUCAUCUGCAGGGUUCAUUUUCAGUACUUUUUUCCGGGUUCAUUCAUCGUCUUGCUUCUUUCGUGUGAUUUUUGUGUUCAUUUUCAGAUUGGCCUGAAUGGUUGCUAGUCAUUUUCCACAGAUUUAUCAGUCAGUUCAAUUUUCAGUUUUCUUCUUUAGGGUUCAUUUUUCGUCGUGCUUGAUUUGGGUAGUUAUUUAGGGUUUAUUUUUCACAGAUUUUUCGAAACGCCCUAAUCCACAGAUUUUUUAAUUUUCGGUCGUCAUCUGCAAGGUUCAUUUUCAGUACUUUUUUCCGGGUUCAUUCAUCGUCUUGCUUCUUUCUUGUGAUUUUUGUGUUCAUUUUCAGAUUGGCCUGACUGGUUGCUAGUCAUUUUCCACAGAUUUAUCAGUCAGUUCAAUUUUCAGUUUUCUUCUUUAGGGUUCAUUUUUCGUCGUGCUUGAUUUGGGUAGUUAUUUAGGGUUUAUUUUUCACAGAUUUUUCGAAACGCCCUAAUCCACAGAUUUUUCAAUUUUCGGUCGUCAUCUGCAGGGUUCAUUUUCAGUACUUUUUUCCGGGUUCAUUCAUCGUCUUGCUUCUUUCGUGUGAUUUUUGUGUUCAUUUUCAGAUUGGCCUGACUGGUUGCUAGUCAUUUUCCACAGAUUUAUCAGUCAGUUCAAUUUUCAGUUUUCUUUUUUAGGGUUCAUUUUUCGUCGUGCUUGAUUUGGGUAGUUAUUUAGGGUUUAUUUUUCACAGAUUUUUCGAAACGCCCUAAUCCACAGAUUUUUCAAUUUUCGGUCGUCAUCUGCAGGGUUCAUUUUCAGUACUUUUUUCCGGGUUCAUUCAUCGUCUUGCUUCUUUCGUGUGAUUUUUGUGUUCAUUUUCAGAUUGGCCUGACUGGUUGCUAGUCAUUUUCCACAGAUUUAUCAGUCAGUUCUAUUUUCAGUUCUCUUCUUUAGAGUUCAUUUUUGGUCGUGCUUCAUUUGUGUGGUUUUUUAGGGUUUAUUUUUCACAUAUUUUUCGAAACGCCCUAAUCCACACAUUUUUCAAUUUUCGGUUGUCAUCUGCAGGGUUCGUUUUCAGUACUUUUUUCCGGGUUCAUUCAUCGUCUUGCUUCUUUCGUGUGAUUUUUGUGUUCAUUUUCAGAUUGGCCUGACUGGUUGCUAGUCAUUUUCCACAGAUUUAUCAGUCAGUUCAAUUUUCAGUUUUCUUCUUUAGGGUUCAUUUUUCGUCGUGCUUGAUUUGGGUAGUUAUUUAGGGUUUAUUUUUCACAGAUUUUUCGAAACGCCCUAAUCCACAGAUUUUUCAAUUUUCGGUCGUCAUCUGCAGGGUUCAUUUUCAGUACUUUUUUCCGGGUUCAUUCAUCGUCUUGCUUCUUUCGUGUGAUUUUUGUGUUCAUUUUCAGAUUGACCUGACUGGUUGCUAGUCAUUUUCCACAGAUUUAUCAGUCAGUUCUAUUUUUAGUUCUCUUCUUUAGAGUUCAUUUUUGGUCGUGCUUCAUUUGGGUGGUUUUUUAGGGUUUAUUUUUCACAGAUUUUUCAAUUUUCAGUCGUCAUCUGCAAGGUUCGUUUUCUGUACUAUUUUUUCUGGUUCAUUCAUUGUCUUGCUUCUUUCGUGUGAUUUUUGUGUUCAUUUUUAGUAGCAAACAAUUGGGCUACAAUUCUUUUCGUUAGAUAUCAGUAAAGAAUUGAUCUAGCUUCAAGUUGAUUGCAUAACAAGGAUUCAGAUAUCACACUGACACCAUCGAAAGGUUUGAAGGAGACU
rnacentral:lncRNA from 1 species